AGUGCGUAAUAGCUCACUGGUCGGGUGACUCUGCGCCGAAAAUGUACCGGGGCUAAACGUAUCACCGAAGCUGCGGACUGUUCUUCGAACAGUGGUAGGAGAGCGUUCUAAGGGCUGUGAAGCCAGACCGGAAGGACUGGUGGAGCGCUUAGAAGUGAGAAUGCCGGUAUGAGUAGCGAAAGAGGGGUGAGAAUCCCCUCCACCGAAUGCCUAAGGUUUCCUGAGGAAGGCUCGUCCGCUCAGGGUUAGUCGGGACCUAAGCCGAGGCCGAAAGGCGUAGGCGAUGGACAACAGGUUGAUAUUCCUGUACCACCUCCUCACCAUUUGAGCAAUGGGGGGACGCAGGAGGAUAGGGUAAGCGCGGUAUUGGAUAUCCGCGUCCAAGCAGUUAGGCUG
rnacentral:rRNA from 1 species